CACCGCCUUCAUCGCAAGCGCCAGCCAGACCGCACACUCCCAUGACUGUCGCGACAAUGCCCCGUCUCCUCCAUCACCGCGUCACCGUGCUCCACUUCCACAGCCUAGGCCGCAGGAACUCAGCACCGUCGUGCCAUCAACAACGACAAUGUCUCGCUUCUUCACCUCCGUCACCUUCGUCCGAACUCCAUGCUUCGCCAGUCUCCGAUCUAAUUUUGCUUCAUUGUGGUAUGACAGAAAAGGGGCAGAGAAAGGGGAAGAAGAGAAAAGAACAGCCUCUGCUUGCUCUAAACGCACUUGCAUAAUAAUCCAACUCGUGCUAGGGGUCGCCGCGACUUUCGAAAGAGCAGAAAGGUGAGUUGGGGAACUGGUUUACGAAUGAAAUUUGAUAAAGAUAUCCUCCCUUGUAUUAUUCUAAGACUCAAGAAAUUGAAACAAGCACCAAGGUAUUGAAUCUGGUUUUUGUUGUUGGUUUCCUUUGACGCGAACGAAAGGUGAAUAGAACAUAAGUACUGUUGGAUUCAUUAUGUAGUGUACUGUGUGAGUUUCUGUUUAACAGGGUGUGAGUUUCUGUUUAACAGGGUGUGAGUUUUUCUGAUGGCGUUAUGUGUGUUGGCUUUGUGGAAAAGGAGAGAGCGCCAAAAUUGUUUCAAUGUGUUCAAUGUGCGCUUUGUAUGGUGCGUGUUAAGGAUGCGAUGGAGAGGUUUGGAUAUGGUGAUGGCACCUUAACAACAGGUUGGACUAGAUUCAUCUUCCUUGUUGAUGAGAAAAAAAAUCAAAGUUUGGGGUGCAGAUUCUAUAAAAGUAACCCUGAUUUAAGAAAAUGAAAGAGGAAGCAAUGCUUCACUCUCUGGAUAGGACCUCUCAUGGUGUUUCGGGGACGUUGAGAGCUUUGGAAGAUCACAACUCACGCUGCUCAGUGGCUUCUAAGAGGGGGAAGAGAAUAAAUUUCCAUGAAACCUUGUUAUGCAAGGUGUGCUCAUGGAAAGGGGAUGGAGAUGCAGCGAAAAAAACAAUCAUAGUGUUUCGGUAGGAAUUUAUUGGGACCGAAAGCACUAACCUCAGUGGCGCGAUUCUGCCUCCUUCUGAUGCGAAAUCUCCAAUUGCCUUCGCCGUCCGUUCUUCUGACCGUCCGUCACGCUCUGAUCUUUGCCCAGGAGGGGGGUGGUACCUGUAAAGGCACUCCGAUGAUCAAGUUAGAUGUCAGUAUAGGAAGGACCUCUGUCCUCAGCAAGUGGAUGCCUAGAACGGAGAGAGGGUGGAACUCAAUCAAGUAUGAGAGUAUCAGUGUAGGUUGAAUUGUGCGUAGAGUAAGCUAAAUUGUGCGUACCUUGUUUGGAGGCUUUUGUUCUUUAUUUAUAGGCUUUGGAUCAAUAUAACAAAAUAAAAUAUAAACAGAAUGAAAUAUAAACAAACUUACCUGAAAUAUCUCUGUUGAGAUAUUAUUUGAUACGAGAUAUAUAUGAUGAUACUGUUCCGUUAUUCGUGUUUGUUGAGCCCAAUAAGGCUGGAUAAUUCGGCCCAUUUACCUGGUAGGCUUGACCGUUCGGUGUAACCGGUCGUCCGGGAUAUACUAUCGUACAUCAUCCCCCCAAGUCCAAAGGAAGGACGAGGCUUUAGCCUGAUGUGACUGCAGGACUUUGAUGAGUGUUGGGAAGGAUAGUGGCCGAUUGGUGUGGGAUAANUGAGUNGUCCGUAUUGUUGACCGUUCGUACUGAUUAGUGCCCUAGUGGUAGGCAAACAGACAUGUGUAGUUUUGCCAGUGUAAAUUAAACGACGCAAUCAUAUCGUCGUUUAACUUUUAAACACAUAAAUGGAUUUUCCCGCGUUACGGUAGUGGCAGAGUCGCCAAAUUAGAACGUUAGAUCUCAGGCAUCCAACGGUGUAGGUAAUGCGACAUUUUCGUAACCUCCACGCUUUUGAAAAGUAUAAUGAUUUGGAAAUGAACCGUCAUUUCAUCGUUGUUUCCUGCGUU
rnacentral:lncRNA from 1 species